GAGGAUGAGCAGUGUGAGCAGGAGCCAGGUGACAAUGUUUUUCCACUCUCUGGGAGUGUCUGAUUCUUCUUGAGGAAGAGCCUGUCUGAAUCCAUUGGAUUCCUGCACAGCUCAGCCCGUGACAGACACAAAGUGCAAUCACAGCCCUUGAAAUUAAUGAGCCCCUCAGUACAAAUGGACUGCUCCAGCAAUUCAGGGGGAAUGUGAACUCAAGCAGCACUAAAGGAAAAGUACAGCUCCUCAUCCGAAGCAGAAUACUUCAAUAAAAACUGCAGGACAGAAACCUCUGCAUCUGACCUUCUGAAUUCAAGCAGCCUUUCACAUUCCAGGAAGACUGAAAGAGCUGUCAUGGUCUCUGAAAUCUCCUCUUCUACGAGUUCAAGCCAUGCAGUUGACCAGCACCCAGGAAUACUUGAUUUAGCUUAUUUUCAGCUCAAAAGCAGGAAGAGAGAGAUGUUUUUGUCUAGUAGGAUGGGAAAGCCUUCAGUAACUGUGCUUCUCCUCCUAAAAUAGCACUCGCUUUUUGAACGGGGGAGGACAAAGGGAUGCCAAGUAGUCC